rnacentral:rRNA from 1 species
AUAAACUGGAGGAAGGUGGGGAUGACGUCAAGUCAUCAUGGCCCUUACGACCAGGGCUACACACGUGCUACAAUGGCAUAUACAAAGAGAAGCGACCUCGCGAGAGCAAGCGGACCUCAUAAAGUAUGUCGUAGUCCGGAUUGGAGUCUGCAACUCGACUCCAUGAAGUCGGAAUCGCUAGUAAUCGUAGAUCAGAAUGCUACGGUGAAUACGUUCCCGGGCCUUGUACAC